AGAGUUUGAUUAUGGCUCAGGAUGAACGCUGGCGGCGUGCCUAACACAUGCAAGUCGAACGGAGAUCAUUUGGACAGAGGCUUCGGCCAAAGGAAGUUUGAUCUUAGUGGCGGACGGGUGAGUAACGCGUGGGGAACCUGCCCCAUACCGGGGGAUAACAGAUAGAAAUGUCUGCUAAUACCGCAUAAGCGCACGAGGUCGCAUGACCCUGUGUGAAAAAACUCCGGUGGUAUGGGAUGGACCCGCGUUGGAUUAGCCAGUUGGCGGGGUAACGGCCCACCAAAGCGACGAUCCAUAGCCGGCCUGAGAGGGUGAACGGCCACAUUGGGACUGAGACACGGCCCAGACUCCUACGGGAGGCAGCAGUGGGGAAUAUUGCACAAUGGGGGGAACCCUGAAUGCAGCAACGCCGCGUGAACGAUGAAGGCCUUAGGGUUGUAAAGUUCUGAUCUGGGGGAAGAAGAAAGUGACGGUACCCCAGGAGAAAGCCCCGGCUAAAUACGUGCCAGCAGCGGC
rnacentral:rRNA from 1 species